GACGAACGCUGGCGGCGUGCUUAACACAUGCAAGUCGAACGGAAAGGCCCUGCUUUUGUGGGGUGCUCGAGUGGCGGACGGGUGAGUAACACGUGAGUAACCUGCCCUUGACUUUGGGAUAACUUCAGGAAACUGGGGCUAAUACCGGAUAGGAGCUCCUGCUGCAUGGUGGGGGUUGGAAAGUUUCGGCGGUUGGGGAUGGACUCGCGGCUUAUCAGCUUGUUGGUGGGGUAGUGGCUUACCAAGGCUUUGACGGGUAGCCGGCCUGAGAGGGUGACCGGCCACAUUGGGACUGAGAUACGGCCCAGACUCCUACGGGAGGCAGCAGUGGGGAAUAUUGCACAAUGGGCGGAAGCCUGAUGCAGCAACGCCGCGUGCGGGAUGACGGCCUUCGGGUUGUAAACCGCUUUCGCCUGUGACGAAGCGUGAGUGACGGUAAUGGGUAAAGAAGCACCGGCUAACUACGU
rnacentral:rRNA from 1 species